rnacentral:sRNA from 1 species
GGCUAGGUGGGUGUCUUCUUCCUCCCUCACCGCUUCAUGUGUGUCCCUCCCAAAGCUGUGGUCUCACUUGGUCAAAGAGGAUGGCCUUCCCCAAACAGAGACAGACUGGUCUUCAGUCGAAGGUAUACGAGUAGCUGCGCUCCUCAGCUAGAACCUCCAAACAAGCUCUCAACUGAAGAGUGAAAGACUCCACUCACGGAUCUUAAUAUGAGCACGCGCCCCAGGCCCUGCCUGUCUCUUUGC